CAUGGCCUCACGUGUCUGCGGGGUCUGCUGCUUCCUCCGCUCCAAUAAUAGCCUCGAUUCCCUGGCACCGUGCCCAGCGUCAGCUAACAGCACGACACCUGACCGCUGCCUCACAUUCACGGUCUCCUGACACGGUUACUGCCCGAACCAAAUCCGCAGUCUCGUGUUGAAACCCAUAACAAUCUGAAGUCAGAUCUGUGUUUACAAACACAGGCUGACUCGGAAGCUCCCCUGGCGUGAGGUGGCACCAAGUCUCAGCCACUGAUGUUGAUGCGCCACCGACAGUCGGAGAAUACUGGACAUGUGCUGCAGUCCUCCUUUGCGUCACUAGGGGGAGGCACAGUGCCAGAAAUCUCCACGCACGGUAGCGCCCAUCGACGCCCCUGAUCUGCUGUCCGGGACACAGUGACGGAUUGGCAACAAACGAAGAAAACUUCGGUGUGCGUGCGCAAGUCAUCCACUAUUUAUGGUCCAAACUUCGGGGGGGAUUGUGCUCGCGCAUAAAGCCGAAGCAUACACUAUUCUAGGCGAAGAAGGUGUUGAUUAUAUAUGGUCUGCUGCAGAAGCAGAGGUAAAAGUGCCUGUUGAGAUGCCAGUAGAGGUGUGCCCUCUCCUCCCAGUUUUGAGGUUUGAAGUGCUCUUCAUAACCAAAACAACUAGAGAAAAAAAACAGGGCACACGCCCAGAACCACAAACACAUAAACACAGAUCUGAAACAUAUGAUCUCAUAUGGAGAGAGUGGCACGUUCAGGGGCACACCCAAAUCUGUCGCUGCUGCUUCUGCUGCACAGCUCUGCCAUCUCACACGGGACUUCCCUGCAGCUGCUGUGCCACCACGAGUUACAUUAUCAGAGCUA